GACGAACGCUGGCGGCGUGCCUAAUACAUGCAAGUAGAACGCAGUUGCGAACGUGUGAGUAACGCGUAGGUAACUGCCUGGUAGCGGGGGGUAACUAUUGGUAAGGACAGCUAAUACCGCAUACUACCAGAUCGAUCUGCGUUGGAUUAGCUAGUUGGUGGGGUAACGGCUUACCAAGGCGCCGAUACAUAGCCGACCUGAGAGGGUGAUCGGCCACACUGGGACUGAGACACGGCCCAGACUCCUACGGGAGGCAGCAGUAGGGAAUCUUCGGCAAUGGACGGAAGUCUGACCGAGCAACGCCGCGUGAGUGAAGAAGGUUUUCGGAUCGUAAAGCUCUGUUGUAAGAGAAGCGGUAUCUUACCAGAAAGGGACGGCUAACUACGUGCCAGCAGCCGCGGUAAUUC
rnacentral:rRNA from 1 species